UGCAUCGAAGCGAUAGCGUUGGCUCAUGCUUGAACUGGCGGCUAUAGCAUACAGCGUGUGGUGGUUCGUUUGUGUUUGGGCAUUUUGGUUGCAUAAAAUGUGUGCUUCUGUUUGUGCAUCUUGCGUGCACGUGUUUUUGCGCUUGCGUGUCUGCGUGCUUUUUUGAAAACGGCCAUGCCCCUGUCGCGUUGUGUUCGUCAUGCCCUGGUGUGUAGCGUUCCUCAAGGGCUCAUCUACAGUCAGAUCCAGGAGAGCAGCACGCUGUAUUCGGGUGACUGCCGUUGCCAUAGUAACCGAGAGGUGACGACCGCAAAGGCCACCGCGCCAAGUAACGCGGGAGAAGAGCCUCAUAAUUUCAGUGGAUCCGCACAGCCAAAAACUGAUCAGUUAACUGUAAAUCUGGGCAAUUCAUCUCCACACCGAGAGUACUUGAAACACUUUUCUUCCUUUAUAUUUGUGUUACAGGUCUGAAUCAGUCCCAUAGCCUGUUAGGAGACAUGGAAAACCAGAAGAGUGUUUUGGGGCACCAAGACCAGAGUUGAAUAGCCCUGCAGUGUUGCAUUUUUAUUUUUGUCUGUAAAGCACAUUGAAUUGCAUUGUUAGCUUUCUCUUUACAUGAAACUUCCUAUGUCCGCCAUGUUAGCCUUCCCUUUACAGCCAUUGGGGAUAUUUAAACAACCCUGAGUAACUGAAUGUCAAGAACUGGAACAAUAUUAAAACUUUCUAAAACUUAACCGUAGCUCUCCAAGCGCAUUUCUGUCAUUCCCUGGUGACAUCAGAUCGACCCAGUGAACGCUGGGCAUGGGACAGCCGACUCCUCAUGUCAACUCUCUUCAAGCUCCCCCUCUUUUCACUACUUUGGACCAGGCCGGACAAGACAGGAAAUAGUGUGCCAUUUUGGAACCCAGCCUCUAUGUUCCCGAAGGAUUCUUUAGACUUCCUUCGCCCCAAAAAACUUCACAACCACAGAUCCCGUCUGACUUGACUCUGCUGUUUUUUUUUUGUUUUUUUUUAAAGGAAGUAGCAUCAGUAGCUAGGUCUGCAGUAUUUGGAGUUGGCUGCACAUUCAUUCAAACAAGGAAUAAGUAGGAAGUAAACCUCAGCACUAAACCAUGGGACCUGAGAGACUCUUCACUUCCAAUAAGGUGCCCUCCAUGUUCCUCUGCAGAAGAUUGUUGGCAUUGAAGCACUGUUAUCCACAUUUGCAGUUUAAGUCAGUCAAAUAUUUAACUGAUACAUUUCAAAAGCUGUACUGAUAGACUUGUGUUCUUUAAAAACCUGUCUUAAAAGACCACAGGUUACGCUGAGCUUUUCAGCGACGAGGGAAGGAGUAUUUUCUCAAAGGUAUUGCCAUCACAGACAUAAAUUGGUGUUAAAGGGAGUUUUAAUUAUAAAGGUAACCUUUCCAAAUGACAACACGUCAGGCUGUAAACACAUCACAAACAACGGCAUCAGGCAUCGUUGAAAAACACACCACAUCUACUGUACUUAAUGGCCAUAUCAUACAUUACAAUAAACUGACACAGAGCAACAUUCAUUACUUUAGGUAUUAACAGUCACGUGACAACCAUAAUAAUGUUGACAAAUAAAGAUGAUCUAAAAAUACCUCCA